rnacentral:rRNA from 1 species
GGGCCCGCACAAGCAGUGGAGCAUGUGGUUUAAUUCGAUGCAACGCGAAGAACCUUACCAGGCCUUGACAUCCUCGGAACUUUCUAGAGAUAGAUUGGUGCCUUCGGGAACCGAGUGACAGGUGCUGCAUGGCUGUCGUCAGCUCGUGUCGUGAGAUGUUGGGUUAAGUCCCGUAACGAGCGCAACCCUUGUCCUUAGUUGCCAGCACAUUAUGGUGGGAACUCUAAGGUGACUGCCGGUGACAAACCGGAGGAAGUGGGGAUGACGUCAAAUCAUCAUGCCCCUUAUGACCUGGGCUACACACGUGCUACAAUGGACGGUACAAAGGGCUGCAAACCCGCGAGGGGGAGCCAAUCCCAGAAAACCGUUCUCAGUUCGGAUUGCAGGCUGCAACUCGCCUGCAUG